CUCCAAUCUGAGCAACAAAAGUGAAAUUCCAUCUCAAAAAAAAAAAAAAAAGAGUUUGAGACCAGCCGGGCCAACAUGGUGAAACCCUGUCUCUGCUAAAAAUAAGUAUAUAAAGAAAGUAGCUAGAAAAAUACACAAGAGGCCACGCACGGUGGCUCACGCUUGUAAAUACCAGCACUUUGGGAGGCCGAGGCAGGCAGAUCACUUGAGGUCAGACUUACUAUUUUCAAGACACUAGUUUUUUUGUUUGGUUGGUUUUUUUUGAGACGGAGUCUCGCUCUGUCACUCAUGCUGGAGUGCAAUGGCACGAUUUUGGCUCACCGCAACCUCUGCCUCCCGGGUUCAAGCGAUUCUCCUGUCUCAGCCUCCU
rnacentral:lncRNA from 1 species